UCUCCGUCGUCAACAAGUGCCACCUCAACAACCACACGUGCAUCCCCGUGCGCGUGAGUACAGUGUACGACAGCUACCUAUUCGACCUUGACUUUCAUCAGGAUUUUCUCGUUUCAAGUGACGUCACCGGGAACCGCCUAAUUUUAAUCGACACAAAAAGCGAGCAGAUUUUACGACAGAACUGGCCAGGUUCAACCUACGGCGUCUGUGUAGCGGCCGAGGAAAGACAACCCUGGAUUGAACUCCCUAAAACAGACUACAAGAAGCCAGACCCAGACAACGGUGACGUCAUUCAGGACGCAGC